AAGUUAUAUAUACAUGGUUAAAUUAAUAAAUGCCUUUAGAAAUGUGAGCCUUGGUUAUACACAGGGAGUCUGGCUUGCAAAGCUAGGUCAAAGGUUACUAUCAACAGGCCUUCAUCAAUCUAUCUUAACAUGAACCAUAUGUGGUGACCAUCCAUAUACAAUGAAAGUCUGUAAUACUAGUUACAUCCUGUGUCUGAAAGAAGUUUGAAUAAAGACUUUAUAAUAUUCAUAACACAAAAGCAAGAUUCUACA